rnacentral:rRNA from 1 species
GUCUACAGCCGUGCCACCCUGAACUGAUCUUGGAAGCUAAGCAGGGUUGGGCCUGAUUAGUACUUGGAUGGGAGACCACCUAGGAAGACCAGGUGCUGUAGGCA